rnacentral:piRNA from 1 species
GAGGAGAUGUGACUUGGUGGUGACCAACUGU